rnacentral:tRNA from 1 species
GUCAGUGUGGCCGAGUGGUUAAGGCGAUUGACUCGAAUUUUCAUCUUAUUCGAUAUCAAUUCCAUUCGUGGGCACAGGUUCGAAUCCUGUCGCUGACG